UACAGCCAUAUCACAAUGAAGCACCAGUUCUCAUACAAUCACCAGAGUUAAGCAAUGUUGGACCUGGUCAGUACCCAGAUGGGUGACUGCUUUGGAACACCAAAUGCUGUA